UACGUAGGGGGCAAGCGUUGUCCGGAUUUAUUGGGCGUAAAGAGCGUGUAGGCGGUCAGGUAGGUCCGUUGUGAAAACUCGAGGCUCAACCUCGAGACGCCGAUGGAAACCAUCUGACUAGAGUCCGGAAGAGGAGAGUGGAAUUCCUGGUGUAGCGGUGAAAUGCGCAGAUAUCAGGAGGAACACCCGUGGCGAAAGCGGCUCUCUGGGACGGUACUGACGCUGAGACGCGAAAGCGUGGGGAGCAAACAGG
rnacentral:rRNA from 1 species